AGUUACAGCCAUAUCACCCUGCAGCCCAAGACUGGUUGCCCACUGAAGCUAAGCAGGGCUGAGCCUGGUCAGUACCUGGAUGGUAGACCUCUUGGGAAAACUAGGUUGCUGUUGGAA
rnacentral:rRNA from 1 species